rnacentral:rRNA from 1 species
GACGAACGCUGGCGGCGUGCUUAACACAUGCAAGUCGAACGCUGAAGCUUGGUGCUUGCACUGGGUGGAUGAGUGGCGAACGGGUGAGUAAUACGUGAGUAACCUGCCCUUGACUCUGGGAUAAGCCUGGGAAACUGGGUCUAAUACUGGAUACGACAUGUCACCGCAUGGUGGUGUGUGGAAAGGGUUUUACUGGUUUUGGAUGGGCUCACGGCCUAUCAGCUUGUUGGUGGGGUAAUGGCUCACCAAGGCGACGACGGGUAGCCGGCCUGAGAGGGUGACCGGCCACACUGGGACUGAGACAUGGCCCAGACUCCUACGGGAGGCAGCAGUGGGGAAUAUUGCACAAUGGGCGGAAGCCUGAUGCAGCGACGCCGCGUGAGGGAUGACGGCCUUCGGGUUGUAAACCUCUUUCAGCACGGAAGAAGCGAAAGUGACGGUACGUGCAGAAGAAGCGCCGGCUAACUACGUG